CACCUUGGUCCCAUCCUCUGGGCCCUUCGAGUCCCUAGCCCCUUUGCCCUUUCUGUUUUCUGUGCCCUGCUCAUUUUAAUUCUCCAUCAACUGAACCAGCUGUUUCCAUUGCAGCUGCAUCUAAGCCCCCAAGCACUGAGAGGGAAACAUCAAGUCACCAUGCUGAUUAGCUCCACUGUACACCUAGAGUUUCCAGCCCCCGCUAGACCCUCAGUGUUCUGUGAUGCUGUAAUCAGAGUUUCUAGUCCAUUUCUCUUCUUCCUUUGGAGGGUUUGGGACAAAGGAGUGACAUCGUCUGGCUGAUGCUUUAAUGGAAUUGGCUGCUAUGUUGAGAAUAGAUUGUAGGGGAGCAAGGGUGGAAGCAAGCAAGUUGGGAUAGAGAUGAUGGUGGCAGAGGAAGUUGUGUAAAGUCUGUUUCUGGGUUUAUUUUGAAGAGAGUGAAUAGGAUUUGCUGAAAUCGCAGCACCUUCCCCCUUUACUUACGCCACUCAUCUCUGCUUUGUUUUAAUCCUAAUACUUACCAUACUCUAGCAUACAGUGUGUUUUGCUUAUUUAUCUCAUGUACUGCCUGUUUCUACUUCUAGAAGACGCAGUGCCAGGAAGGCAGAUUUUUGGUCUGGUUUGUUCACUGUACCUAGAACAUCGUCUAGCACUCAGUGAACACUGGUUGACGUGAAUGUUGAUUGGGCUGGAUGUGGAAUGUGAGAGAAAGAGGAGGGGUCAAAGGGGAGGCAAGGAUUUUAACCUGAACAAACAGGACUGAGAGGGAGGACUGAGGGAGGAGCAGCUUGCUUCCACCUGAUUGUAACUUAAGCCGAGCACCUGGGAAUCACCUUGGGUUCCUCCUCACCUCACAUGUUUCAUUGGUUAUCUUUUCUUUUUGAGUCUUUCUGCCUUUGCAGGAUCCUUACUCAAAACCAUGAAUCAAGCCCUGGCUCCUUACUGUCUGGACGACCCGUCUUCCUGUACCCAGACCUCCUACGCCUUUUACCAGACCGUCUCUCUCCAGAGCCGUUUCCCUGGUGGAAAGCCUUCACGGUGGCCCCUCACUGACUGCUGGGCACAGUCUAGCUCUAGUGGGUACGUGUGGACACACAAGCUGACCAUCACUCACUUUCUCCUUGUUCUCUUCCACGCGCCCAGCGUCCUCGCCCUCUGUCUUUAUGAACACACUCAGACCUCUGGGUUAGGGAGAGUUACACUUCUCCUGAGAGCUGGGCCUGUUUUUUCCUUAGAGAAAAUGUGAAUCUUGGGAUUGUGUCCCUCUUUGCUUUGGUGGCUGAGACUUGUAUCUCCCAUCAGCCAUGAGCUGCCAGAGCUCUCAGACUGGUGGCCCCUUUCACCCUGCAUGGUGUCUGGUUCCCACAGACCCGCAGGCAGUACUUGGAGACUGUCUGGCCGUUCUGUCAGGGUCAGUGCAUCUGGGAGGGUUCCUCGGCCUGAGGGACAGGGCAGGACUGUAGAGGGUGCAGUUGGUUCCCUGGCAGAAUUGUCCCUUUUCAACUUAACUGCUAAGAUCUCUGCUCUGUUGGCAGAGUACCUUGCCCCGGCAUAUAAUAACCACCAUUUGUUAACCAGUUACUUAAGUCAGGCAUGGAAUGAGGCUUGCCAUGACUUAUUUCAUUUAAACCUCCAAUACCUAUAUCUCAUUGGUGCUAUCACUUCCCCCGUUUUAACAGACAGAAAACCAAGGCUCAGAGCAGCUAAGCAGUUUGUCCACAGUCACACAGCUGGUAUGUGUGGAUCAGGGGUCAGAUCCAGGCUAGGCCGAUUCCAGAGCCUAGGUCACUCACUACUGCAGUGCUGUAGUUCUGCUUUAAAUUGGGGACAUUCAGUUCUGUUCCUACAGGUGCUCUGUAUUUGGAGGAUCAGUAACUCCUGCACUCCAUCCAGCUUUCCUUUUCCAUGUCUUCAUUAUGUACCUCUACCCUUCUUUCAGCUUUCAGUUAGCUUCCUGGGCUAACGGCCCUGGUGCAGUGUUUGUCUUUGACAUGCUUUUUUUUUUUCCUCUGACCCCUAUUUUUAUUUACAUAUUCCCUGUUACACAAACCUUCCCAGCUACCAAAUUCUGAAUUUAAUAAAUGUAUGCCAUGACGCUACCCCUCCCUUAUAAUCCUCUUCCUGUAUAAACUUUGUUGUUACUUCUUUUUUUUUUUGUAAAGGAAUUUUCUAACAUACACAAAACGAGAGACUAAUAUGAACUCUUAUGUCCCCAUCACAUCUUAUGAGCAUUUUGUUAAUCUUUUUUUAUCUUUUUUACACUCUUUUUUUUUUUUCCUGGACUAUUUUAAGGCAAUUCCCAGACAUUGGCUCAUUUCACCUGUAAACCCUUCAGUUAUGCAUACCUGUGUAAAGAUGGGGAGCACUACCUUCUGUAUCUGUCUUACUCAUUUCAUCAUUUGCUCAACAAGGACGUGUGGAGCGCCUGCUGAGUGGUCAGUGCUGAUGAGACUGAUGCGCAAAACAGGCGUGCUGGCUGCCUGCUAGUGAGACAACAAAGUGAUCGCGUCCAUGCGUAAUUACAGAUGGCCACAGGUCAUCCAGCCUGCUCUGGGCUAGCCUCACACUGGGCAGUGAGGGAUAAUCUGUCAAGGCUGUAACAUUUGUAAUUAAGUGUCUGUAUUUUUACGAAAGUUACAAACUUAGUUUGAGUCAAACUGUUCUAAAAUACUUACUACAAAGAAAAAACAAAACGAGGCAAACAAAAACAGCCUCCUGAUCCUCCCCCUCGUAUCACGCUCCCCAAAGAAAAGCACUUGCACUCACUAUUUUGGUGUCUGUCCCCGUAUUUCCAAAUGGCACGCUACUUUUGCUUUUUCUGUUAGGCUUUAUCAGUUGAUGUCACAGUUGGAAGAUGAGGAUUUGUCUCUGUUUCAUCUGCCUCCCUCUCCUCACCACUCACAUACAUAUACAUGCUUCCUGUUUUCCUGUCUUCUCUCAAGCUAGUUAUACCAACAUUUUGAUUAGGUCGAUAUUCAGUAUAUUCCUUACUAAGAUUAUUUAAAUGCUGUUGGUCGCCGAGUCACACGAUGUAGCAUGAUUACUUUUCCUUUCUUGUACAACUCUUUAUUUUUCCUGGAGUUAAUAAUUGGCUCUUUAUUUACUUACCUAUUUAUUUAUUUAUCUGUGUUUUCUAUGGUACUCAUCAUUUAUUCCUAAAUUCUCUCUCGGUAUAUAACUUCUGUCUCUGCUGUCAGAUUCACUUGGGUGUUCAGCCAGAUUUAUCUCCAUCAAGAAGUCUUUCCUACAAGUCCUUUGAUCUGCUCCAGGCUAUCCUGGCUGGUCUCUAGGCCAGCAAUACUGCUGCUGUUUUGGGAUCUCCCUUCCUCAUUAUUCUGGGCAUCAAGCGGCUGCCACUCUUAAAAUACCGUUUCACACUCCACAAGCCCUUCAGUGAGUGUCUUGUGCCUCUGCCUCCAUUGCAGCGCCCCUCUCAAAGCAUCGUCUGUUCUGACCAGACCUCUGGGGGCUUGGAAGGUGAAAAAUGAGAGAGAAAUCUCGGUCUGGGCACAAAGUAGGGACUCGGUUGGUUGAAAUCCACGUUGGAGCAAAAGGAAAAAAUAAGAAAAAUGACUUUUAAUUAUCAUGCAUUGCUUCCUGAAGGAGAUGGAAUUUUCAGAACUUAUUGAAAUGACAUUUCCGACUUUUUCUUGAUUACAUACUGCAUGCUUAUUGUUGAAAAUUUGGAAAAUGAGGGAAAGUUUCAAGAGCACACAUCUCCUUCUAUGGAGAUUCAGCUAUUAAUAUUUUGUUUAUUCCUGUUUUUUCAUGCAUUAUAAGUUUUUAAUAAGAAUUGGGAUUAUGUUAUAAGAAACUCCAAAUGAGAAAAAAACUCUUAAAUAGGAAGUGAUGGGGCGGGAGGUAGGUUAGCUGGCUGCACAACUCUAGGGGGCAUUGUUCACAUUCUGUUCUAUAGCAGGCCUGGGAGAAGGGAUAAGAUGCUCCACGCACAGCUUGAGAAAUAGUGAUAAAAUAGCAUGUGUCUUGUCAGAUCACUUUUAAACACCCCCCCCCGUUAUGUUAUUAUAAGCAAUACUGCUCACUUUUCAAAGCUGAUAAAAUUGGCUUUCCCACUGUUUUUGGUAAGAAACUAACUCUAUCAGUUAUGCUAACAGAUACUUUUUAGCAACAUGACCACUUCCAAGUUCAUUAUCCAUUAAAACAAAAACUCAGCUGCACUAUUUCCAAACAAAAAUGUGAGAAAAAAAUAAGUAAAAUGAGGAACCAAUUAGCUAAGAAAGUCAUCAAACAAGUUGGAGGGAAAGGCUAUCUCCAGAUGACUACGAAUGAAAGCUUUCUUCAUAAUAAAAAUCGUCAGACAGAAAAAUGUACAGUUUAGAGUUUUGUUUUAUGCAGCAUUGACCCUGAAAGUUGUUCCCAGCUCUUAAAAGUCUUCAAACUAACUCUAUAACUUUAACAUAUGAAGAUAGCAACUUGGUUGAUGAUGGCUAAGAAACCAUCUGGCAGAGCCACACUGACAAGGAAUAGUCUGUUCUGGGAUAGAAGAGGAAGCUGGAAGCUUCUGUUCUUGGCUAAGGGCCAUGUCCUCAGAUACCAUGGUGGUAAGUGGAAAGCUUGUCAGUAAGUGUUGCCUGUGACUUACAUUUUUAAGCAGUUUGGUAAUUAGCUCCAAAUUAGGAAAUUAUCUGGCAGUCAGAGCAUUAGAGCAGGAAAACCCAUUACAGUUCUUCCAAAUCUUUGAAAGAAAAGGUUAUAGAGCAGAAUUAGAGUAACUGUUUUCAUAAGGAGAGGAUUAGAAUUGACUCCUGGGUAGAAACAUGCUGGAAUCUGUUGUCUGGUUUGUGGAUGUAGGGGCCUCAAAAGGUACCUCCCCCACUUAGAACCUUUGUGGUGUGUUUAAUGAUCUCUGAACUCAGCCCCACUAUUCCCUAAACACUAGUGGGAUGGCUGAGUGGUGACACCCCAGAGGUCCAAGAAUAGAAACAACGCAGUUCAGUUAACUAACAAAAACAAAAUGUCGCUCACGUCUUGCUCAGAUGCUGAAGAAUACGCUCCCUCUCUUCCACUUUCCUGCAUUUCCUUAGGGCACCUCUUCUGUUAUGUUAAAUUGUCAACACAUCCCAUCUGGUCAUUUUGCUGUAUGCUGUCUCUCUGAACAACUACAGAUGCUGUGAGGCAGGAACCAUGCCUUACACUUACUUCCCCACAGUGCCUAGCAGGAUGUCUUGUACAUAGUAGGUGUUCAAUUGAUGCUAACUGGAUACGUUUUAGGGAGCAGGCCAAGGGACUGUAUCACUAGCUCAAGCCACACCUAAGAGUGUCCCAUCUCCAAGACAAAGGAUAGCCAAUCAGAGUUGAUUAAGUGAUCAUCUCCCUAAAUUACCAUUGAUUUCAGUUAGCAUUCUCAGUGAAGAUGUGGGCUUUUUAUUUAUCUUUGGAAAUUUCUUUCCACAAGUAUUCAAGUUUCCUCAUAGAUAAAGUUGUUUAAAAACAGUGUGUUCUUCAAAUAUCAGUCCAGAAUGCAUCAUGUGCCUAAAAUGGUGAUUUUUUUUUCCUGUUUCAUUUUCACUGUUGUUGAAGCUAUCACUGUUCAAUACCUUUUUGGAGUACGAUUUUUCCACAAGCUUUUACUCUGUCUUGAAUGAACGUUGCAAUAUAAAUAGAGACUUACUGUUUUCAAGUUUUUAGGGAGGAAUGUUCUUAUCAAGCAUUUAGGGCUAAGCUUGUUCUAGAUCUGAAGUCCUCACUUUCCAACCAAAUCCCCUUUCAAAUCAGGCAUUUCCACAAGCUGGUUUGAAUUUAUAUUAACAGAUCCUGACAGCUUCAACUGAUUUGAGUUUUGAGGAAUUCUGAGUUAAUAUACUGGAUCAUAUUUACAGAGAAUUUGGGGGCCCCUUGUUAAACAGAAUUCUAAAUGGUUUCCUUAAAAAGGCUGCCAGGAAAGGGAAACGUGCUAAUGACAAGAAGAGUGAUGUGGUCUGAGGGUCUCCUUACUGUAGAGCUAGGAAAAGAACAGGAUCUGGAGUAACAUGAGGUCACAGGCACAGCCAGCCUUGAACAGCUGUGGUGGCCUAGCUAUUGAGGCCAGGCUGAGCUGUUUACCAACAGAUUUUGAUACAAAGGGAUACUGCCAGAAAGGGUCCUUUGGAAAUAUGUGGAGGAGUUACAAGAAAUAAAUCUGCAUUCAUGAAAGUGGCAACCUUUGGGGCCAUGCUGAGUCACACAGAAGAGGAGGGGCUGUCUCUUGCAAAAGAUAAAUGGUUUUCAACCAACUGAUUUGGUCUUUAGAAAAUUAUGGGCCUAUUUGCUUUGCAGAAGUGUCAAAGUUUCCAAAACAAUUAUUUCUUUCACUAGGUGGACUGCCUACUAAUCAAGGCCAUACUGCUUAGUCUAAGAUGAUGGAAUUAAAGAAGGAACACCAAGGUCAAAAGUAAGACUACACCUAAAAGAGCAUUGAAGAGACAAUCACACUGCGGUGCAAACAGAAGGACGUGUUCAAUCAGAAUUCCUUCAUUUCCUUUCCACCACCAGGCAUUGUCCUUCAUGGUGAGAUGUUCACUAGGGCCUCCUAACUCCUCUCCUUGAGCUCAAGCCCCCUCUUCCCAGAUAGUCCAUCUGAAAGAUGGACUUUUCAGACCAUUAAAUCGGUAUUCCUAAAUCGCCAUUUUGAGUCCAAAACGGUUUACUGGGUACCUAUUGUAUGCUAGGCUUUGGGAAUACAACAGUGAACAGGAUACCACUUGCAUCAAAAUAUUCCUUUGCUUGAUUCGGGAUCUCCCAGCUCCGGUGCAGACAUGGCCAAGUCGAAGAACCACACCACACACAACCAGUCCUGAAAGUGGCACAGAAAUGGCAUUAAAAAACCCUGAUCACAACGAUACGAACCUCUUAAGGGGGUGGACCCCAUGUUCCUGAGGAACACGCGUUUUGCCAAGAAGCACAGCAAGAAGGGCCUGAAGAAGAUGCAGGCCAACAACGCCAAGGCCAUGAGUGCACGUGCUGAGACUGUCAAGGCUCUUGGAAAGCCCAAGGAGGUCAAGCCCAAGAUCCCAAAGAGGAACAGCCGCAAGCUGAGUCAGCUUGCCUACACUGCUCACCCCAGGCUCAGAAAAUGUGCUCAUGCCCACAUUGCCAAGGGUCUCAGGCUCUGUCGGCCAAAGGCCAAGGACAAGGCUUAGACCAAGGCCACAGCUUCAGCUGCAGCUCCGGCUCUGGCUCCCAAAGGUACACAGGCCCCCAACAAAGGCUCCAGAGUAGAGGCUUUCAUCUACUGAUGUGAGGAUAGAAGGACUGGUGUGACCUCUGGGCUGCUGUCUGCAUGGGGCUCAUGUCUACCUGUGCUGUUUGUACAAAUAAACCUGAGGCAGGAAAAAAAAUAUUCCUUUGCUUAAAAA